AACGAACGCUGGCGGCAUGCCUAACACAUGCAAGUCGAACGAAGCCUUCGGGCUUAGUGGCGCACGGGUGUGUAACGCGUGGGAAUCUGCCCCUUGCUUCGGAAUAACAGUUAGAAAUGACUGCUAAUACCGGAUGAUGUCUUCGGACCAAAGAUUUAUCGGCAAGGGAUGAGCCCGCGUAGGAUUAGGUAGUUGGUGGGGUAAAGGCCUACCAAGCCGACGAUCCUUAGCUGGUCUGAGAGGAUGAUCAGCCACACUGGGACUGAGACACGGCCCUGACUCCUACGGGAGGCAGCAGUGGGGAAUAUUGGACAAUGGGGGGAACCCUGAUCCAGCAAUGCCGCGUGAGUGAUGAAGGCCUUAGGGUUGUAAAGCUCUUUUACCAGGGAUGAUAAUGACAGUACCUGGAGAAUAAGCUCCGGCUAACUCCGUGCCAGCAGCCGCCGUAAAAC
rnacentral:rRNA from 1 species